rnacentral:rRNA from 1 species
UUCCGGUUGAUCCCGCCGGACCUGACUGCUAUCGGAUUGAUACUAAGCCAUGCGAGUCUUUGUAGUAAUACAAGGCAUACGGCUCAGUAACGCGUAGUCAACCUACCCUAUGGACAAGAAUAAUCUCGGGAAACUGAGCAUAAUUCUUGAUAGAUCAUAAUGCCUGGAAUGGUUUAUGGUUAAAAUGAUUCGUCGCCAUAGGAUGGGACUGCGGCCUAUCAGCUUGUUGGUGAGGUAAUGGCCCACCAAGGCGAUUACAGGUACGGGCUCUGAGAGGAGAAGCCCGGAGAUGGGUACUGAGACAAGGACCCAGGCCCUAUGGGGCGCAGCAGGCGAGAAAACUUUGCAAUGUGCGAAAGCACGACAAGGUUAGUCCGAGUGAUUUCUGCUAAAGAGAUCUUUUGCUAGUUAUAAAACCACUAGUGAAUAAGGGGUGGGCAAGUUCUGGUGUCAGCCGCCGCGGUAAAACCAGCACCUCAAGUGGUCAGGAUGAUUAUUGGGCCUAAAGCAUCCGUAGCCGGCUCUGUAAGUUUUCGGUUAAAUCUAUACGCUCAACGUAUGGGCUGCCGAAAAUACUGUAGAGAUAGGGAGUGGGAGAGGUAGACGGUACUCGGUAGGAAGGGGUAAAAUCCUUUGAUCUAUCGAUGACCACCUGUGGCGAAGGCGGUCUACCAGAACACGUUCGACGGUGAGGGAUGAAAGCUGGGGGAGCAAACCGGAUUAGAUACCCGGGUAGUCCCAGCUGUAAACGAUGCAGACUCGAUGAUGCAUUGGCAUAUAGCCAGUGCAGUGUCGCAGGGAAGCCGUUAAGUCUGCCGCCUGGGAAGUACGUACGCAAGUAUGAAACUUAAAGGAAUUGGCGGGGGAGCACCACAAGGGGUGAAGCCUGCGGUUAAAUUGGAUUCAACGCCGGG